rnacentral:tRNA from 1 species
UCCCUGGUGGCUCAGAGGGUAAAGCGUCUGUGUAUAAUGCAGGAGACCUGGGUUCGAUCCCUGGGUUGGGAA